UAGCCGUAAACGAUACUCGCUAGGUGUCGGCCACGGUGCGACCGUUGUCGGUGCCGUAGGGAAGCCGUGAAGCGAGCCACCUGGGAAGUACGGCCGCAAGGCUGAAACUUAAAGGAAUUGGCGGGGGAGCACAACAACGGGUGGAGCUUGCGGUUUAAUUGGAUUCAACGCCGGAAAUCUUACCGGGACCGAUAGCAACAUGAAGGCCAAGCUGAAGACUUUGCCGGAUUAGCUGAGAGGAGGUGCAUGGCGUAGUCGUGU
rnacentral:rRNA from 1 species